AUCAACGCUGGCGGCGUGCCUAACACAUGCAAGUCGAACGCGAAAGUGGAGCAAUCCAUGAGUAGAGUGGCAAACGGGUGAGUAACGCGUGGGUGACCUGCCUUCGAGUGGGGGAUAACGUUCCGAAAGGGACGCUAAUACCGCAUGACAUCCUGCCUUUGAAGAGGCGGAGAUCAAAGCUGGGGAUCGCAAGACCUAGCACUCGAUGAGGGGCCCGCGUCUGAUUAGCUAGUUGGUGGGGUAACGGCUCACCAAGGCAAUGAUCGGUAGCCGGUCUGAGAGGACGCACGGCCACACUGGAACUGACACACGGUCCAGACUCCUACGGGAGGCAGCAGUGGGGAAUCUUGCACAAUGGGGGAAACCCUGAUGCAGCGACGCCGCGUGGGUGAUGAAGCUCUUCGGAGUGUAAAGCCCUUUCGGCAGGGACGAAUCAAGACGGUACCUGCAAAAGAAGCCCCGGCUAACUACGUGCCAGCAGCCGCGGUAAUACGUAGGGGGCUAGCGUUGUUCGGAAUUACUGGGCGUAAAGAGCGCGUAGGCGGUGCGGUGUGUUUGGUGUGAAAUCUCCCGGCUCAACCUGGGAGCUGGCCAUCGAAAACUGCCGUGCUGGAGUGUGGGAAGAGGGCAGUGGAAUUCCCGGUGUAGCGGUGAAAUGCGUAGAGAUCGGGAGGAACACCUGCGGCGAAGGCGGGUGCUGGCUGACCACUGACGCUGAUGCGCGAAAGCUAGGGGAGCGAACAGGAUUAGAUACCCCGGUAGUCCUAGCCUAAACCGAUGAAUGCUUGGUGUAUGCGGGUUACCUAGUCCCGCUGGUGCCGUAGCUAACGCUAUAAGCAUUCCCGCCUGGGGAGUACGGUCGCAAGACUGAAACUCAAAGGAAUUGACGGGGGACCCGCACAAGCGGUGGAGCAUGUGGUUAAUUCGACGCAACGCGAAGAACCUUACCUGGGCUAGAAUGCCUCAGUGACCGGGUAGAGAUACAGCCUUCCUGGGUAAACCAGGCAGAGCUGCAAGGUGCUGCAUGGCUGUCGUCAGCUCGUGUCGUGAGAUGUUGGGUUAAGUCCCGCAACGAGCGCAACCCUUAUCACUAGUUGCCAGCGAGUCAGGCGGGCACUCUAUUGAGACUGCCCGUGACAAACGGGAGGAAGGUGAGGAUGACGUCAAGUCCUCAUGGCCUUUAUGUCCAGGGCUACACACGUGCUACAAUGCGCAAGUACAAAGCCGUCUGCAAACCCUGCAAGGGGAGCCAAUCGCAAAAAGCCUGUCUCAGUUCGGAUUGGAGUCUGCAACUUCGACUCCAUGAAGCUGGAAUCGCUAGUAAUCGCAGAUCAGAAUGCUGCGGUGAAUACGUUCCCGGGCCUUGUACACACCGCCCGUCACAUCACGAAAGUGAGCUUGCUACUAGAAGUCGGUCGAGCCAACCCGUAAGGGAGGCAGGCCGCCCAAGGUAUGAUCCAUGAUUGGGGUG
rnacentral:rRNA from 1 species